UCAUGACUCUGGUUAUGGAGAAGAAUUCUCUAAGCAAGUUGAUCCGCUAGGAAGAACCUUGAGAGAGAAUCUAGCAAAAUACUUGCAGCAUUCCAAAGAAAAAUCUUUAUCCAAGUAGAUUAUUUUUGUUGCUUUAAUGAGAUUGCAUGUAAAAUUUCAUUUGUUUGUGAGAGCAAUGACAAUCCAUGAACAUCUGCAGAUAUCAGUACUGCUUUUAUUUUGAUCUUCCUCUUAUGGGGGAAGGCUACCGGAGUUGUGUGUCAUACUGUGUUGAUAAGACUAUGCAUGAAAUGGACUGCGUUUAUUAU
rnacentral:misc_RNA from 1 species